rnacentral:rRNA from 1 species
GAUGAACGCUGGCGGCGUGCCUAAUACAUGCAAGUCGAGCGAACAGAUAAGGAGCUUGCUCCUUUGACGUUAGCGGCGGACGGGUGAGUAACACGUGGGUAACCUACCUAUAAGACUGGGAUAACUUCGGGAAACCGGAGCUAAUACCGGAUAAUAUUUCGAACCGCAUGGUUCGAUAGUGAAAGAUGGUUUUGCUAUCACUUAUAGAUGGACCCGCGCCGCAUUAGCUAGUUGGUAAGGUAACGGCUUACCAAGGCAACGAUACGUAGCCGACCUGAGAGGGUGAUCGGCCACACUGGAACUGAGACACGGUCCAGACUCCUACGGGAGGCAGCAGUAGGGAAUCUUCCGCAAUGGGCGAAAGCCUGACGGAGCAACGCCGCGUGAGUGAUGAAGGUCUUCGGAUCGUAAAACUCUGUUAUUAGGGAAGAACAUACGUGUAAGUAACUGUGCACGUCUUGACGGUACCUAAUCAGAAAGCCACGGCUAACUACGUG